AUAGCUUAUUCAUGUUCCACGCAGGAAGGAGAGAAAGAGAGAGAGAGAGAGGGGGGGGGGGGAAUAAGAAGAAGGGAAAAAAAGAAAAGGGGGGACAAUUUACGCUGAAAGUGUGCGCGCGGCUGGGAGAGACAAGUUGCUCGCUCCCACGGAGGUUGCGCUGCGUUUGGAGUCGCCCCGAACCGUCCUGGGUUUUUUUUCUCUCUCUCUCUCCCUUUUUUUUUUUUUUUUUUUUUUACUACUGUGGCGUGCUUCCCGGUCCUUCAGAGCCACAGAUUUAAAACUGGCAAGCCUCGCGCAGACAACUCAGUCAUUCAGUGCGCUCCCCUCCCUCUCUCUCUCCCUCUCCCUUUCUGUGUCGCUAACGCGCAAUAAAUAAAUGCUCAAUUAUUUAUCUCCAAAACGACGGCGGGGUAGGGGUAAGAGGGUGAGGAGGGAGGGGUGAGGAGGAGAAACUACUUGGUGUCUCCCUCCCUUUAAAAAAAAGGGGGGGAAUAAAAAAAAGAAAAGAAACCUCUUUGGCAAAGAGUCAGAGAAUGUCACACACGGUAAGGCUGGCGCCCGCCUCUCAGUGAAGAAGAAAAGGAAAGAAAGAAAAUCUGCUAUUCUGCCCCCUUUUUUUUUUUUUUUUUGAAUGAGCCACGUGUUCAAACUACAAAUCAGCCCACACGUGAGAAAUCCCAAUUGCUUCAAUUAAGCGCGGCGAGUGCUGCUGGGAGGAGAGAGACAGCAAAUAAGGGAGAAGAAGAAGAAGAAGAAAAAGCAGUUUCGGUGAAAACCUGCGCGUAAAGGGAAUCCGUGAGAAACAUGGUGCAGCACAGGUUACAACCAGGGAACGUUGGCUCCACGGCUGUCUGGGUUUCCUCCUUUCUGCUGAUGAGCAAACACACCGCCGCGCUCUGAUUGGCUCCUGGGAUCAGCCAAUCAGGGCGCGGUGGAGUCCCCGUCCCCCCCAGUCGUCCCUCCUCCUCCAUCGCCCCUCCCUCCUCCUGGCUGGGCCUCAGCGCCGCGCUCUGAUUGGCUGGCCCGGAUCCACAUAUUCUAUAUGAAUCCGCGCGCCAAUUACACGCCUUUCCCCCGUGUUUCCUCUUCAAGUGCCUGACUUUUUCUUUCUUUUUAUUUAUUUAUUUUUUUUGUCGUUAUGAAUCAUAUGGAGUCGGACGAGGCACGAGCGUUAAAACCAAUGGAACGGCUCGUUUCAGGAACUUUAUUAAUAUGAAUUUGUUUACUCAAACACUCAUGUAAACAUAUUAGUCAAGGCUUAAUAAAACCAGGUGUUUUUUUUCUAAUUAUUGACCAGCUUUUCGUUCAUUUUUUGACUUAUUAUCUUUAAAGUUCUCCCCUUAAAAAGACUCCACAAAACUUUUUAGGCCGASCUAAAAACCUAAAUAUUCACUCUGAAUGGAUCCUUAAAGGGAACACAAACAUGGGCUUUGUGUUGAUGUGCUUAAACUCGGACAUUUUUUUUCCCCCCAGUUUUAUGAAUUUUAUUUAUUUGAUUUGCAGCGCGUUUGCAGGGGAAAAAAAAAGAAGAUGCAAGUGUUUUACAAUAUGGUGGCUCUCUGCAUGGCCCUGUCGGUUUAAAUGAACUGAUGCAUGGCUGCAGCCUGUGUGUGUGUGUGUGUGUGUGUGUGUGUGUCUGUGUGUGUCUACAGGAAGAGUAGUGAAUGUAUCGCUGAGGAAUGUACAAAACCCCCACUCUUCUUUUUCCUCCUAGUUUCACUUCUCUUUAUGGACACAUUCCUAUAGGGGGUGAGGGGGGCGGGGUUCAGAGCAGUCCUAUAUGUUGGGGAAGAUUUGUGCGGUUCAUGUCCCCGCGGGAGGGGGGGCAGAACUAAAGGGUGAGAGAGAAGAGAGAGGGAAGGAGGAGGGGGGGUUGUUUAAGUUAAACGCAGCUUAUAGCCCAACUUUGAGCUGCUGUUGGCCUCACUCCAACAUAUAGUCYCCAAGCAAACAAGAGAAACCAGGGAAGUUUUGUUUUUCCACCCCUCGGUGAGACUGCUUUUAUUAUACAUUUAUACAUUUCUAUACACAUAAAUAUAUAUAUUCGAUGUAAAACGUGUAGCUGUGUUGUUUUGAACUGAACCCAGUUGAGUGACCGGCAGCAGCACGGUCAGAGGGAACUCCGCACGCCAUGUUGAGGAGAUCCCACAGAGGAGUCCAUGCGCCUGUUUUCUGCCCCAAAUUGAUCAUUUCUGUCGCAAAAAAAAGAGUGUUUUGGAAUUAAUACUCGGAAACAUUAGAAAAGUUGGACAUUUAAAAAAGUAGAGGUUUGUUUUGUCUUGAGAAGCAUGCAGCUGAGCUGACACCCGUCAUCAUGAUUCAGAAAAUGGCGGCAUGUGUCCCCCCUCUUCAUUAAGAAAUAAAUAAAUAAAUAAAAAAUAAAGGGCAGGAAAUAUUUCUCCAUAGAAUGAGUUACCGGUAAUAUCAACUGGGAAAAUACCUCAAACUUUAGCUGUAAUCUUGUAGAGUUUCAUAAAAAAAGUCACAGGAGAAUAAAAAAUAAACCUAGUUUUCCGUCACUUCC